rnacentral:rRNA from 1 species
UACGGGGGAUGCAAGCGUUAUCCGGAAUCAUUGGGCGUAAAGCGCCUGUAGGUUGUUUAAUAAGUCUGUUGUUAAAGACUAGGGCUUAACCCUAGAAAAGCAAUGGAAACUACUAGACUGGAGUAUGGCAGGGGUAGAGGGAAUUUCUAGUGUAGCGGUGAAAUGCGUAGAUAUUAGAAAGAACACCGGUGGCGAAAGCGCUCUACUGGACCAUUACUGACACUCAGAGGCGAAAGCUAGGGGAGCAAAAGGGAUUAGAUACCCCUGUAGUCCUAGCCGUAAACGAUGGAUACUAGAUGUUGGAUUAUAUAGACAGUAUCGUAGCUAACGCGUUAAGUAUCCCGCCUGGGGAGUACGCUCGCAAGGGUG